AAAUAAGAAGCAAUAUUUUGCAUUUAAUUUCGACUUAAAAGACAGAGUUUUAUUACUCCUUAUUUA
rnacentral:tRNA from 1 species